rnacentral:rRNA from 1 species
AGCUAGUUGGUAAGGUAACGGCUUACCAAGGCGACGAUGACUAGGGGGUCUGAGAGGAUGGUCCCCCACACUGGUACUGAGACACGGACCAGACUCCUACGGGAGGCAGCAGUGAGGAAUAUUGGGCAAUGGGCGCAAGCCUGACCCAGCCAUGCCGCGUGCAGGAUGACUGCCCUAUGGGUUGUAAACUGCUUUUAUACGGGAAGAAUGGUUCCUACGUGUAGGGAUUUGACGGUACCGUAAGAAUAAGCAUCGGCUAACUCCGUGCCAGCAGCCGCGGUAAUACGGAGGAUGCAAGCGUUAUCCGGAUUCAUUGGGUUUAAAGGGUGCGCAGGCGGAAUAUUAAGUCAGUGGUGAAAUCCUGCAGCUUAACUGUAGAACUGCCAUUGAUACUGAUAUUCUUGAAUAUAGUUGAGGUGGGCGGAAUGUGUAAUGUAGCGGUGAAAUGCUUAGAUAUUACACAGAACACCGAUUGCGAAGGCAGCUCACUAAACUAAUAUUGACGCUGAGGCACGAAAGCGUGGGGAGCGAACAGGAUUAGAUACCCUGGUAGUCCACGCUGUAAACGAUGAUCACUCGCUGUUGGCAAUACAUCGUCAGCGGCUGAGCGAAAGCAUUAAGUGAUCCACCUGGGGAAUACGAUCGCAAGAUUGAAACUCAAAGGAAUUGACGGGGGCCCGCACAAGCGGAGGAACAUGUGGUUUAAUUCGAUGAUACGCGAGGAACCUUACCUGGGCUUAAAUGCAGAACGACGUUUCGGGAAACCGGAAUUUCUUCGGACGGACUGCAAGGUGCUGCAUGGCUGUCGUCAGCUCGUGCCGUGAGGUGUCGGGUUAAGUCCCAUAACGAGCGCAACCCUUAUCGUUAGUUGCCAGCGGGUAAUGCCGGGGACUCUAACGAAACUGCCGGUGUAAACCGUGAGGAAGGUGGGGAUGACGUCAAGUCAGCACGGCCCUUAUGUCCAGGGCUACACACGUGUUACAAUGGUCGGUACAAAGGGCAGCUACCUGGCAACAGGAUGCUAAUCUCGAAAACCGAUCUCAGUUCGGAUUGAAGUCUGCAAUUCGACUUCAUGAAGCUGGAUUCGCUAGUAAUCGCGCAUCAGCCACGGCGCGGUGAAUACGUUCCCGGGCAUUGUACACACCGCCCGUCAAGCCAUGGAAGCUUGGGGUACCUGAAGGCCGUA